rnacentral:rRNA from 1 species
GACGAACGCUGGCGGCGUGCUUAACACAUGCAGGUCGAACGGAAAGGCCCUGCUUUUGUGGGGUGCUCGAGUGGCGAACGGGUGAGUAACACGUGAGUAACCUGCCCUUGACUUUGGGAUAACUUCAGGAAACUGGGGCUAAUACCGGAUAGGAGCUCCUGCUGCAUGGUGGGGGUUGGAAAGUUUCGGCGGUUGGGGAUGGACUCGCGGCUUAUCAGCUUGUUGGUGGGGUAGUGGCUUACCAAGGCUUUGACGGGUAGCCGGCCUGAGAGGGUGACCGGCCACAUUGGGACUGAGAUACGGCCCAGACUCCUACGGGAGGCAGCAGUGGGGAAUAUUGCACAAUGGGCGGAAGCCUGAUGCAGCAACGCCGCGUGCAGGAUGACGGCCUUCGGGUUGUAAACCGCUUUCGCCUGUGACGAAGCGUGAGUGACGGUAAUGGGUAAAGAAGCACCGGCUAACUACGUG